rnacentral:rRNA from 1 species
CCUACGGGGGGCAGCAGUGGGGAAUAUUGCGCAAUGGGGGCAACCCUGACGCAGCAACGCCGCGUGAUUGAAGACGGCCUUCGGGUUGUAAAGAUCUUUAAUCAGGGACGAAAAAUGACGGUACCUGAAGAAUAAGCUCCGGCUAACUACGUGCCAGCAGCCGCGGUAAUAAGUAGGGAGCAAGCGUUAUCCGGAUUUACUGGGUGUAAAGGGCGUGUAGGCGGGCUUGUAAGUCAGAAGUGAAAUCUGGGGGAUUAACCCCCAAACUGCUUUUGAAAUUGCGGGUCUUGAGUGAUGGAGAGGCAGGCGGAAUUCCCAGUGUAGCGGUGAAAUGCGUAGAUAUUGGGAGGAACACCAGUGGCGAAGGCGGCCUGCUGGACAUUAACUGACGCUGAGGCGCGAAAGCGUGGGGAGCAAACAGGAUUAGAUACCCUGGUAGUC